rnacentral:rRNA from 1 species
GACAGAGGUGCCGAGCGUUAGGCGGAAUCACUGGGCUUAAAGCGUGUGUAGGCGGACCGUUAAGUACCUUGUGAAAUCCCCCGGCUCAACCGGGGAACGGCUGGGUAUACUGGCGGUCUUGAGCCAUCCAGGGGCAGUCGGAACAGACGGUGGAGCGGUGAAAUGCGUAGAUAACGUCUGGAACGCCGAAGGUGAAAACAGACUGCUGGGGAUGCGCUGACGCUGAGACACGAAAGCCAGGGGAGCGAACGGG